rnacentral:rRNA from 1 species
CGUAGGGGCAAGCGUUAUCCGGAUUUACUGGGUGUAAAGGGAGCGUAGACGGAGCAGCAAGUCUGAUGUGAAAACCCGGGGCUCAACCCCGGGACUGCAUUGGAAACUGUUUGAUCUGGAGUGCCGGAGAGGUAAGCGGAAUUCCUAGUGUAGCGGUGAAAUGCGUAGAUAUUAGGAGGAACACCAGUGGCGAAGGCGGCUUACUGGACGGUAACUGACGUUGAGGCUCGAAAGCGUGGGGAGCAAACAGGAUU